ACCUUCUUGUAUAAGCACUGUGCUAUAAUUGCAGAAACUUGAAUCCUGUUUUGGUUUCUGUAGUAAUGCUAGUGAAAGGAAAGUAUCUGCAGAGAUCCUAUAAUC
ensembl:snoRNA